GAUAGGCAGGGUGUGUAAGCGUUGUGAGGCGUUGAGCUAACCUGUACUAAUUGCCCGUGAGGCUUAACCAUACAACACCCAAGGGGUUUUGUA
rnacentral:rRNA from 1 species